AGUGAACGCUGGCGGUAGGCCUAACACAUGCAAGUCGAACGGCAGCACAGUAAGAGCUUGCUCUUACGGGUGGCGAGUGGCGGACGGGUGAGGAAUACAUCGGAAUCUACUUUUUCGUGGGGGAUAACGUAGGGAAACUUACGCUAAUACCGCAUACGACCUACGGGUGAAAGCAGGGGAUCUUCGGACCUUGCGCGAUUGAAUGAGCCGAUGUCGGAUUAGCUAGUUGGCGGGGUAAAGGCCCACCAAGGCGACGAUCCGUAGCUGGUCUGAGAGGAUGAUCAGCCACACUGGAACUGAGACACGGUCCAGACUCCUACGGGAGGCAGCAGUGGGGAAUAUUGGACAAUGGGCGCAAGCCUGAUCCAGCCAUACCGCGUGGGUGAAGAAGGCCUUCGGGUUGUAAAGCCCUUUUGUUGGGAAAGAAAAGCAGCAGGUUAAUACCCCGCUGUUCUGACGGGACCCAAAGAAUAAGCACCAGCUAACUUCGU
rnacentral:rRNA from 1 species